GCAACCUGAAGUUGGCGCACGGCAACACCGUGGUGUUUCGUUCGGUGCUUGGCAUCAGCUGGAUGUGGUUCUUCGGCGCGGUGUUCCUGAGCCAGUUCCCCAGCUUCGCCAAAGAAGUGCUG
rfam:Hydrogenophaga sp. IBVHS1 contig000001, whole genome shotgun sequence.